AAGGCUACGGCUCAACCGUAGUAAGCUCUUGAAACUGGGAGACUUGAGUGCAGGAGAGGAGAGUGGAAUUCCUAGUGUAGCGGUGAAAUGCGUAGAUAUUAGGAGGAACACCAGUUGCGAAGGCGGCGCUCUGGACUGUAACUGACGCUGAGGCACGAAAGCGUGGGGAGCAAACAGGACUAGAUACCCUGGUAGUCCACGCUGUAAACGAUGAGUACUAGGUGUCGGGGGUUACCCCCCUCGGUUCCGCAGCUAACGCAUUAAGUACUCCGCCUGGGAAGUACGCUCGCAAGAGUGAAACUCAAAGGAAUUGACGGGGA
rnacentral:rRNA from 1 species